UGUCCCUGACCUGAGUACAGUUACAUCUGUUUUGGUGGUGCUUGUCUUAUAUCAGCCAGGGACAAAGUAACUCCUUGUUUAUCCCAGCUUGGCUUCUGGUCUGUGCCCAUGCCUGGUUCAUGACCUGGACACAUAG